GGCGAUUUCUGUCCACCCUCGCCGAUUCAAACCCCAUCCGUCUUUCUCGUCUCACUCUCUUACUCUGUUCGUGACUCUCUCUCUCUCAAUCUACAUUCAUUCUUAUGUGUGGUGUGCGAAUGACCGGAAUUCGUGCCUGAAAUUUGUGGAGAAGAAGAUGACUGAUUUUUUUUUGUGUGUUCUUUUUUUUUCGUGUAUUCUAUUAUAUAUAUAUGAGAGAUCUG
rnacentral:lncRNA from 1 species